AACUUACGAUGCUGCAAGCAUACCCAUGGCGUCACCGGAAGUCUGUUUAUUCUUUUUAAGGGGCAGAAACAGCUAUUUAUGCAGUGGCAUUCUUGCCCUUUAUGUGGCAAAAGGUGGAGGUCAUAGUGGACCAAUGUGGAGAAUAGUGUAAAUAAGAAAGAAGAAGAAAAUAAAUGAUAAUAAUCAUCUUUAUCUUCACCUGCUCUUUAUGUCUUGUCUCUUUUUUGCUCAGCCAAUGACAUGAACUACAUUCAGGAGAGGGAGUU